rnacentral:rRNA from 1 species
AUACGGAGGGUGCAAGCGUUAAUCGGAAUUACUGGGCGUAAAGCGUACGUAGGCGGUUUAUUAAGUCAGAUGUGAAAGCCCCGGGCUUAACCUGGGAACUGCAUUUGAAACUAGUAGACUAGAGUAUGGCAGAGGGGGGUAGAAUUCCUAGUGUAGCGGUGAAAUGCGUAGAUAUUAGGAGGAAUACCAGUGGCGAAGGCGGCCCCCUGGACCAAUACUGACGCUGAGGUACGAAAGCGUGGGGAGCGAACAGGAUUAGAAACCCCUGUAGUCC